rnacentral:rRNA from 1 species
UUCUGACCUCGGAUCAGGUGGGACUACCCGCUGAACUUAAGCAUAUCAAUAAGCGGAGGAAAAGAAACUAACAAGGAUUCCCCUAGUAACGGCGAGUGAAGCGGGAUGAGCUCAAAUUUAAAAUCUGGUAGUCUCUGGCUGCCCGAGUUGUAAUCUAGAGAAGUGUUUUCUGUGCUGGACUGUGUUCAAGUUUCCUGGAUAUGGAACAUCAUAGAGGGUGAGAAUCCCGUCCUUGACACAGACUUCCCAGUGCUAUGUGAUGCACUCUCAACGAGUCGAGUUGUUUGGGAUUGCAGCUCAAAAUG